rnacentral:rRNA from 1 species
UACAGAGGGGGCAAGCGUUGUCCGGAAUUACUGGGCGUACAGCGCGCGCAGGCGGUUGCCGACGUGCCGUGUGACAAGCGGGGGCUCAACCCCCGAGGGCCACGGUAAACGGGGCGACUGGAGGUAGGGAGAGGGAUGUGGAAUGCCCGGUGGAGCGGUGAAAUGCGUAGAGAUCGGGCGGAACACCAGCGGCGAAGGCGGCGUCCUGGCUCACAACUGACGCUCAUACACGACAGCAUGGGGAGCGAACGGG